rnacentral:rRNA from 1 species
AGUGAACGCUGGCGGUAGGCCUAACACAUGCAAGUCGAACGGCAGCACAGUAAGAGCUUGCUCUUACGGGUGGCGAGUGGCGGACGGGUGAGGAAUACAUCGGAAUCUACUUUUUCGUGGGGGAUAACGUAGGGAAACUUACGCUAAUACCGCAUACGACCUACGGGUGAAAGCAGGGGAUCUUCGGACCUUGCGCGAUUGAAUGAGCCGAUGUCGGAUUAGCUAGUUGGCGGGGUAAAGGCCCACCAAGGCGACGAUCCGUAGCUGGUCUGAGAGGAUGAUCAGCCACACUGGAACUGAGACACGGUCCAGACUCCUACGGGAGGCAGCAGUGGGGAAUAUUGGACAAUGGGCGCAAGCCUGAUCCAGCCAUACCGCGUGGGUGAAGAAGGCCUUCGGGUUGUAAAGCCCUUUUGUUGGGAAAGAAAAGCAGCAGGUUAAUACCCCGCUGUUCUGACGGGACCCAAAGAAUAAACACCGGCUAACUUCGG